rnacentral:misc_RNA from 1 species
GAAAUGCGAUACUUGGUGUGAAUUGCAGAAUCCCGUGAACCAUCGAGUCUUUUGACGGCGCUUCGACCGCGACCCCAGGUCAGGCGGGACUACCCGCUGAGUUUAA